rnacentral:lncRNA from 1 species
UUCUUCUUCAGCCAAAUAAGCUGUAUUAAGAUCGUUUGAUAUCAUGCUGAUCAGCUCAGUAUCAUUUACAGGGUCCGUCAUGGCCUCCUCUAGUUCCAUCUUCUUUUUCUCAAUGAGAAGUCUACUGUUGUGAUAUCUUCUCUUACUCCACUCUGUUAAGGCUGCUCGGAUUAGGGUUAUUCUGUCAUUGACUUCUCUUAUUACUUGCCUUCUUCCACUUUGGUAGAUCUCAGAUGGGAGCCAAUCGGUGUAGUAAUUACUAACGGAAUCCCGUUCAAAUACUUUCUGAAAUUUCCACGUUGAUUUUAGGUUUGGACUUUCUUCUUUUGUUUUGUAGAAAGAGAAGAAUCACCUAGAGCUCGUCUGUCUAUCGAACCGGUUGAAACCUUGAUCUUCCAUUGUUGCAGGUCUUCCGGAGGAUGUGAAACGCGGGGUUCAGGAGUUGACGGCGGACCCUCCGACCCGAGUCGGGGGCAUGAACCCGGGGGAUAAAGGACAAGGCUCUGUAUUAUCCUCUGGUUACUGCUAAAACAGGAAGGAAUUUGAAAGUUUUCCAGAAGUUUUCAGAGGAUUUCCACUGAAACGUGCUAAAAGCUGACACCGGAAAGGUGGUGAGGCCUUAGGACCGCGGGAUCACGAACUCCAUCGUAAUAGGUGCCUGGGAGAAACCUCUCUCUAAACCUCUUGUUGGUCAGUCUAACUUAAUGUAGAAGAAUCAAACCCUAAUUAACAAAAAAAAGCACCACUAAGUUUAUGCGUACACAAUUACGUACAUAUACAUAGAAACUAUGAUCGUUUAUGUCAUGUAAUUAAAACACGAAUAACUUAAUUAACUUUUGUAG